GGCUCGCGGCCUAUUAGCUUGUUGGUGGGGUAACGGCCUACCAAGGCGAUGAUGGGUAGCUGGUCUGAGAGGACGAUCAGCCACACUGGGACUGAGACACGGCCCAGACUCCUACGGGAGGCAGCAGUUAGGAAUUUUCCGCAAUGGGCGAAAGCCUGACGGAGCAACGCCGCGUGAGUGAUGAAGACCUUCGGGUUGUAAAGCUCUGUCGGAGGGGAAGAACACAAUGACGGUACCCUCCAAGAAAGCCCCGGCUAACUACGUGCCAGCAGCCGCGGUAAUACGUAGGGGGCGAGCGUUAUCCGGAUUUACUGGGCGUAAAGCGCGUUAAGGCGGCCGACAAAGUUGGUGGUGAAAUUUCAGGGCUCAACUCUGAAACUGCCUCCAAUACUGGUUGGCUUGAGUGCGAGAGAGGAAGGUGGAAUUCCCGGUGUAGUAGUGAAAUGCGUAGAUAUCGGGAGGAACACCAGUGGCGAAGGCGGCCUUCUGGCUCGCAACUGACGCUGUAGCGCGAAAGCGUGGGGAGCGAACGGGAUUAGAUACCCCGGUAGUCCACGCCCUAAACGAUGUGCACUAGGUGUUGGGCGUAUUGACGCGCUCAGUGCCGCAGCUAACGCAUUAAGUGCACCGCCUGGGGAGUACGGUCGCAAGAUUAAA
rnacentral:rRNA from 1 species